CGGUGGCUCACACCUGUAAUUCCAGCACUUCAGGAGGCUGAAGUGGGUGGAUCAUGAGGUCAAGAGAUGAAGACCAUCAUGGCCAACCUGGUGAAACCCCAUCUCUACCAAAAAUACAAAACUUAGCUGGGCGUGGUGGUGCAUGCCUGUAGUCCCAACUACUCGGGAGGCUGAGGCAGGAGAAUCGCUUGAACCUGGGAGGUGCAGGUUUCAGUGAGCUGAGACAGAGCAAGACUCCAUCUCAAAACAAAAAGCAGCUGCACAUCUUAUUUUGCUCCAUGUUUUAAAGAACUAUGCACUGGCUUGUAGGAAUGUUUUUAAAUAAAGAUACUACAGAGAGAGAGAGAGAGAGAGAGAGAAAUAAAACCUUAAUCCCACAACAAGAAAUGGGCUAUUCUGAGAACCGGGCGGGAAGUCCUCAGUGACAGGAUGCUAUCUGUACUCAAGGGAAAAUCCAGCAGGAAUGUUUCCCACCCAGGCGCUGCCAGGCUGAGUUUUUCAUCCAGAUCUAGAGGAGUUUUGUCUUCUAAUGACAAACAGUCAAGAAAAUGAUGAAGACUAAAAUGAAAGAGAAAAACUAACUAUGUUGGUGAAAUCAUGACACGGGCAGUGGGUCUCUUUCGAGAAUGUGCUAACGGGUCGGGAGCAUCUUCGCAGGCCAUGUUGGCUGGACCCCUGAAGAGAAGCGAAUGCAUACACUCCUGAUGGCGGCAGGAGGAAGGGCGACGGAAGGACGGGAGUUUUCCCUCUGUGCUUCCCAUUCCAGGACAGAAAACCUCCAUCC
rnacentral:lncRNA from 10 species